rnacentral:rRNA from 1 species
UACGGAGGGUGCAAGCAUUAAUCGGAUUUAUUGGGCGUAAAGGGCGCGUAGGCGGGGAUGUCAGUCAGAUGUGAAAUCCCGGGGCUCAACCUCGGAACAGCAUUUGAAACUUCAUCUCUAGAGGGUAGGCGGAGAAAACGGAAUUCCACAAGUAGCGGUGAAAUGCGUAGAUAUGUGGAAGAACACCGGUGGCGAAGGCGGUUUUCUAGCUUAUUCCUGACGCUAAAGCGCGAAAGCAAGGGGAUCAAACAGG